AUUGAACGCUGGCGGCAGGCCUAACACAUGCAAGUCGAACGAGUGGCGGACUGGUGAGUAAUGUCUGGGAAACUGCCCGAUGGCGGGGUAUAACUACUGUAAACCGUAGCUAAUACCACAUACCAUCGGAUGUGCCCCGAGGGGAUUAGCUAGUAGUUGGGGUAACGGCUCACCUAGGCGACGAUCCCUAGCUGGUCUGAGAGGCUGACCAGCCACAGUGGAACUGAGACACGGUCCAGACUCCUACGGGAGGAAGCAGUAGGGAAGAGUGCACAAUGGGCGAAAGCCUGAUGCAGCCAUGCCGCGUGUAUGAAGAAGGCAUUCGGGUUGUAAAGUACUGUCAGGGAAGAGGCGUUACUCGCAGAAGAAGCACCGGCUAACUCCGUGCCAGCAGCCGCGGUAAUUC
rnacentral:rRNA from 1 species